CCUGAGGUUAACAAGUGUGUAGGACACUGAAGCAUGUGGUUUCACGGGUGACCAUUACUUUCACUGGUGACCUCUCCAUGGAUGAGUGGGGUGGGGGAACACUUGCUUCUACCCACUGAAGUAACUACUUGCAAAUCACAAGUAUUUGUUUCCUGGUCUUCUUGUAUUUGAAACGUCAUUACCUGCCACUCCCGCAAACCCUGACAUGCAGGCUUUUUUUUACUUUACUCAUGAGUGAGGAACAUAAUGUUCCAUUCUGUAAUAGCUGGCUUGUGAUUAAGCAAAACACAGGUUCCCUGCGGCUAGCUGUCUUGUUUUGAAAAGGGAUGAUCCUGUCCAAGCCAAUAACCAUGACAUGCCAACUUACACUACCGCGGUACCGGGCCAAACAAAACAACCACAGACAGUCGCCAACGCCAACCCGCACUGAGAAAAUGAAAUUGGUCCCAGCAGGCUUAUCCCAGUCCACAGAAACAUCCCCUAACGGUAUUGUAUGCUAUUUCUCCCCCAUUCUCAUCACAUUAGCUCACGUGAGAGAUUCAUUCAUCUUUGCGGGUGCAGUACAAACACAGACGAGACAAGAGAUAAUGAUUUUGCAGGAGUUUAUUGAAAGAAAAACAAAACAAAAAAAAGUUAUCCACUGCUUACAAUAACAGCAACAUAAUUCACUGAAGGGUCUAUCAGCUCUGUGGGCUCUAUGACAAAUAACUGUACAUGUAGUUGAGAACAGGAUAUAUUCACAUUAUACAAGGUCAGACCCUCUCUCUCCAUGCCCUGCCCGACACAGAAAAGAAGAACAAGACGACAUGUUCUUAACAGUGAAAUGCAAAACUCAAACAUUGGUGCUUCGCCUGACGUGCAGAGUAGGUAGGGUUGCAUAGAGAACAGGUUUGUUACAAGCGUUCAAGUGGAGUGCUAAUUUGUAACAACCCAAUGCCAAAAUGGUGGAACUCUGCCCAGAAUCAAAAGAAUUCACAGAUCAAAUAAACUGAUGACAGCAUUAAAAGCAUGACGGUAUGAACACUGUCUACUAUUUAGUAAUUGAUAACUGAACUGCAGUAGCACAUCCCCAAAAUGCUUCCAAAACACAAUGUCACCGUGACAAUAUAUGACCUGGUCUCACAAUUUACUUAAGUGUUUUGGCCAGAUCCUGUUACAGUGUUUCUUAACUCGUGAAAGAUGGGGUACAAUUAGUUAUGUUGUGAUGCAUGAGUAUGGGGUAGUGAACCUAUUGUGUUGUAAACUGUCUGUGAAGAACUGAUUACCAAACUAUUCAUAGGACUUUGGGUCAGAACUAAACCAUAUCAGAAAAAAAAGUCUAAAAAUUCCACUAAGCCACUACGACAGCAGUGCUUCUUAACUGGUGAGUCACAGAAUCAUUCUGAAUGGGUCGCAGAAUGUGUGUUCCUUCAGAUCUUAUCGUAGAUAAUAUAUGAACAGUAGCUUUUAUUUUGAAAUGGAUACAGCUCAGCCUUCAUGGUUCUCAUGCCUCAGUAACAGGGUAAAGGGAUCUCUCAGAAAGAGACGAAGUUCUGCAUGAACCUACUACUGUAUGAGUCUGAAGGCUCGGCUGGAGAAGUGCUGUAAACGUGAGUACGGGAUGCCACUGGUAGGUUAGCUGAAUCUCUGUGUUAGAAUUCAUAAUUUUGGCAGAUAGUAAAAACUUAUUUUCUUGUAAUUUGCAGUUAGCAUGUGACUGAGAUGAGCUAGGUUUUAUACAGUUUUGUGUAUGGGAAAGAAAUCAACAUGUAGGCUGUGUUUGUAUAAUGUGCUAAUUUGAUGAAUACAAGAAUAUAACGUGAAGUUUGAAUCAUUAGGUUGGGCAAAAGGUCAAAUAGUCCCCAGAUUUUUGUGGUAAAACUAUUUAAAAUCUAUCUAAUCUUACUCAGGCUAAUGAGCUAUGAAUUCAGGCAUUUAUUAUGUUUAUGGUUUGAAUUCUAUAAAAGUGUAGGGCAGACCAGUUGAGAUCCACUGCCUUACAGGAUGACGCCUGAUUUUGCUUUAGAAGUGAAUAGCAAAGACGAAUUGGCUUUCACUUGGCAAGAACAUAAAAAAAAUACAGGGAUUUAAAAAAGCAUAAAAAAAUAAUUCAUACAAAACAAAUGUUCCAUCAUCCAUGAAAAAACCACAAUCCAUGAAACCACCAUAUAGUAAAUGUUUUAUGUCCAUGUCCAUUCAAAGCACAUUUCAAAAGCUUAAUCCCUAAAUAAAAAAAAUUAAAAAAAACGAAUUAAACAUAUCAUUUUCACAGACAAGAACUAAAGUAAUAGUCCCUUUAGUUCCCAGAAAAAACUGGAAUCGCAAGUUGAGGAAACAUGUAGCUUUUCAAAGGUUCACUGCAAACAAGAUGAAAACCGGUAGUGAAACAUGAGGUACUUUAAGUGUAUUUGCAGCUUACUCAAUAUUAACAUGACCCAGGAAAAAAGAAGAAACCAUCACACGAAUGUGAGCUCUAAAUAAUUAUAUUACAUUUAAAUAAAACACUUUAAGUGUGCUUCAAGAGUUAUUGUUUUAAAAUGUUCAACUAAACAGAAUGCCACUUCUCUGUUUCUCUUGAUCUAAAACCGAAUCUUUAAAAUGGUGGUCAUGAACAAAAACUCUGUUUUGAAAACACCAAGUUUUAUUGUAAAACAAAAACAAACUUUCAGCAUUGGUCAACCUGGUUCACCGGUAAACAUAACCCUUAAUAACUAAAAAUAAUUUUAACCAAAGAAAAACACUGAUUUAAAGCAUAACAACAGAGCCUUCCUGUUACUGUUCCCCAAAAGACAAAUAAAAAUGCUAAAAACUUGUGAAAUUCCUUGAAACAGGUUAUAGGAAGUAUCACACACACACACAAGGAAUACUGAAGUGAAAACAGCCCAUUUCCUUUCCAAAGAAGUCGUUCUGGUCCAUCACAAACCCAAUUGCCACAAGUCCAAGCCCAAACAUCUACCCAUCCUCACGGAGCACUUAAUCAUCACCAGUUCACACAUAUUCACGUACAAGCAGAUCUGGAGUCUCUGGAGACAGCCAACAAAACCACUGAGGUAGAACUACACAGACAACUAAAACUAACUCCAGACACUGGUUAUGAUUCUUAAUGACUUACACUGAUAAGAGACUGUACUGUGAGAUUAUGACAACUGCACAAACACUUCACAUUGAUGUAACAUGUACACACAUUUCUGUAGAUUAAGUCAGUCUUUGUAGUUGAGACAGUUGUAAGAUCAAUAUUAAUUUGCAUCGAGGUAUCUAUAAAGGAAGCUUGAUGUGCUGGGGUAAGCCAAAGCCAAGACAGCAGUGAAGAGAAAUACUACUGAUCUAAGGGGACAUUUGUGUUUACACCAGAAGGGUAGUAUCUUUGCAACUGACAUAUGAUCUGUGAUGAUCGGAUCUGUGUUCACACCAGAAGAGUAGUAUCUUUGCAACAGACAUAUGAUCUGUGAUGAUCGGUGACAAUCAGAUCUAGGAUCUGAACUGAAAUAUUCCUAAACUAUUCAUCAAAACAAAAAAAAUCCCAAUGUGUCAGAAUAGUUUAAACAUUAACAUUAAAUUAAGAGGGUAUUAUUUUGAUACAUGAUUUUAAACUAAGAUCAGGUAGAGAUCAAUAUCCAUAUUUUGGGCUGAUCUUUGGCACUAAUGACUUAUAGGAGUUGCAAGUAAAGACUAGACAACUUGCCUGGGCAUCUGCAAAAUAAAUACAAACACAAAGUUGAGUCACAUGAAAAUGACUAAACAUUGAUUUGUGCGCAGCUAAUUGAUUUUACUUCGCCCUAAAACCUUGAAUACCAGAGCAGUCUGAUAAGAUUAGAUAUCGGAUUUCAAUCAGAGAAAAUUGUACAGUAAAUCACUUGGGGUUGACCAUCGAUUCUUCCAAUCUUUUUCACAACAAAGCACAAUGAUUCAAUCAGCGGGACAUACGGGUGGUGGCCACACUCACACAAACUCCUUAAAAAAUCUCUUUGACAUUUAAAAAUAAGGUCAACUGGCAUCAUUCGAAAGGAUAUUUCUUUGGGUGAUGAGGUCAACCAUGAGGGUCUCAUCUCAGAAUAAUCUCGUGAUAUUCGCAGCGGCAACCUUAGACUUGAACUGCACUCUAACAAGAGGAUUUCUAGGAGUAACAAAAACUGGGAUUUUACUGCAAACAUCGUUCGAUUGGAGAAAUGAAUCAAAACAUUAAAUCCACUUCCAAAAUAAAUCAGAAUUCAAGGCACGGAGGUGGCAUGUUAAACGUGAUAAGUGUUUCAAUCUUGGGCGCUGAUUAGCAAACAUUCUUACACAGCAAUUUGUGUCUUUACUGAAUUUAUGGGCAGAAGUGAGAAGAAUACGAACACAGGCUUGCUCUGUUGGGUUACCAGUCAAAUCAUAAAACAUAUGGGCUAAUAACCAAUUAUGCCUUUGUUGAAAAAGGUACAGUUAUAAUGUAUAUAUGCGCAUGCGUGUAUUGGGUGGAGGUAAGAUGAGAUUUGUGGGGCUGUUAUAAGCGUGCAGACUUAAUUAGGCAACACCGGGUUUGAGUUCCAAGCAAGCAAACAGGCUUGUCUGAACACACAACGCCCCCUUGCUCAGAAGCCCAACCUGGCGUGCAGCUGGCACUUUCUUCUGAUCUCCAUCACCAAUCACAGCAGCAGGUGACAAACAAUCAAAAUGAAAAUGAAAAUGGAAAUGGAAAUGAUCUACACAAACAGCCUCCGUGAACCAUUCACUGACUGUCUCCUCCUGGCAACCAGAAAAAAAACAAAGUGUAACAAAAACUCUAACAUUCCUCGAGUCAUCGAAAGUCAAAAUCCAUCUGAUAGCGUAAAUAAAGAAAAGAAAAAAGAAGAUCUGUGGAAUCUCUCGUUGCGGAGGAUGCUGAACCUCUUUUCUUCACAUUAUAUAGAUGGGGGGGCGAUUGGGCUUCACAGUUACAAAACAAAAAUGGCAGUCCCUUUGAAGAACCGGGCUCAGACAAGGAGAAUCUGUGGAGAGAGAGAGAGAUGAGACAGACAUGAGCUUACAAGUCACUUCAAGCAAACAGUAAAUUUACACAACUUGAUCACAGGCCCCCAAGAAUAAUGGGUUACACUCAAAUUACUCAAGAACAGAGACAUUAAGAACAAAACGUGAGUCGAGUUCAACAAAACAACUGUUGUCAUCUUUACUUAUGGAUAAUGCAACGCUGCUUCAUGCCAUUAUACAUCUUAUGCUGUGCAUCUCAACUGUAAUCCCACAUUACUUUUUCAAAGAUUUCUGCAAUAGAUCACGACAAAAUUUGUGAAGAAGCAUGCCUCACUUUGCUCAACAACACAGAUCAGUCUCUUAGAUUUAAGCGGCUCAUUCUGGGGCAAUGCCACUGCAAACUAGCGAAACCUUCUGUGAGCUGUGUGUGAGUGAGUGAGUGAGUGAGUGAGUGAGUGAGUGAGUGAGUGAGUGAGUGAGAUUGGCCUCUGGCACCUCCAUUUUGCGUGCCUGGCCAUGUGAGUUCCUCCUCAUUUUCAGUGGCUGUGUUUUGUGAGCCGGGUGGCGCGGGUGGGGCUAAGUAAAGAGUGCACUGAUGCAGGCAUGGCGUGCGAGUCCUGCUCCCUGUUGCAUAACCCCGGCCAGUGCCGCGUGGCUUAGGCUCAAAUGGGUCACUUUCUGAUACGACGAUGAUGAUGACCACAACACAGCAGCAGAGGAGCUUGGGUAAUGUAAACAGUGACCUGGGUGUAAGGACAAGGCAGGCAAGUAAACAAACAAAUAAGCCUCCCCUGCAGAGCUGCAUGACGUGAUGCUCAAGCUGUAGCACUGAGGGGGAGGGGGGGGAGGGCACCACCUCAUCCUGAUGCCUGCAUCAGCCACAGGCAUCUGCUGAAAGCACAGGCCAGGAGGGCAACAAGGAAAAACACAGGGGACUGAACUCAGCCACAUGAUUUUUAAGAGACAUACAGAUGGCAUGAG
ensembl:lncRNA